UGUUCUUCUCUGACCUUCAUGACCCUUUAUGAUCCAGCAAAAGACAGCAGCUUCCAGUAGCCACACGAUGUCAAAAAAUCUAACUUAAGUCGCGAAGGAGGUGUUUUGUGUAAGUGCUGACGAAUCUUUUGUGCUGGGAGAAUAUUGAUGAGGGGUCCCCAUGCAAUGCUCCAUUACUGGGGUCAAAGUCCGCCAAAGCAUUUGAAUCCCGUACAUGAAGGCUGGCUUGACACUGGAGAUAUAGGGCAGAUAGACGACCAUGGUAAUCUCUGGCUUAUUGGGCGUGAAAAGGAUAGAAUCAAGAGUGGAGGGGAGACCAUUUACCCAGAAGAGGUAGAGGCCGUCUUAUCCCAGCAUCCUGGAAUUUCCAGAACUGUUGUUGUUGGAGUUCCAGAUUCUCGGUUAACAGAGAUGGUGAUUGCCUGUGUUCAACCAAACGACGGUUAGCAAUGGGCUGAAUUUGGCAGCAACAAAGACCAGAUCCAAUGUUUAUCCAGUGAGAUCCUCAAGCACUUUUGUCAGGAAAAGAACUUAACAGGGUUUAAAAUUCCGAAAAGAUUUAUUUUAGGGAGAAGACAUUUCCAAUGACAACAACUGGGAAAUUAAAGAGGGACCAAGUCAGAGCAGAAGUAAUGCCUGAAAUGCAACGGAAUUCCUAUCCAGCAAACUAUAACCCAACAACUACGUCCUUCUGGGAAAGCAUAAUUGCUGUCCGAUAUUUGAGGGCUACGAUGAUUAAGGUUAGUAGCUAAAGCAUUAGUUUAUCUUUCAUAUAUAAUAGAUUGUGAUUAUCUUUUUCUAUUGUUUUUUGUUUCAACUUUGUCGUGCCAUACGUUUUCUACGCAUGAAAUUGUUCUUUUCAUCUAUUGUGCAUUGCCAAAUAUCAGUAUAAAUCAUGUAAGUAACUAAAGUUGCUCUCAUCAACACCACCACCACCACCACACACACACACACACACACACAAAAGGAAAAAAAAAAACA